AUUGAACGCUGGCGGAAUGCUUUACACAUGCAAGUCGAACGGCAGCACGGACUUCGGUCUGGUGGCGAGUGGCGAACGGGUGAGUAAUGUAUCGGAACGUGCCCAGUCGUGGGGGAUAACGUAGUGAAAAUUACGCUAAUACCGCAUACGAUCUAUGGAUGAAAGCGGGGGAUCGCAAGACCUCGCGCGAUUGGAGCGGCCGAUAUCAGAUUAGGUAGUUGGUGGGGUAAAGGCCCACCAGGCCAACGAUCUGUAGAUGGUCUGAGAGGACGACCAGCCACACUGGAACGGAGACACGGUCAAGACUCCUACGGGAGGCAGCAGUGGGGAAUUUUGGACAAUGGGCGAAAGCCUGAUCCAGCCAUUCCGCGUGCAGGAUGAAGGCCCUCGGGUUGUAAACUGCUUUUGUACAGAACGAAAAGGUUUCUACUAAUACUAGGAGCUCAUGACGGUACUGUAAGAAUAAGCACCGGCUAACUACGUGCCAGCCGCCGCAGUAA
rnacentral:rRNA from 1 species